GCGUGAGGUUAGUGUCCUUCACGAACAAGAGGAACAUCUAUUCCACCAUGUGAAAUUCUAUUUUAGCGAGUUUCAAGAGAAUCUCGUAAGUUUACGCGAUGAAGUGUAUACGUAAAGUGAACUACGCUUGAUGAAUGAUCGACAUUUAAUACUGAAGCGUGUUCAAUAUUUUGCUUCUAUCGACAAUAGAAUUGCGGUCUCUUUCAAUCUCGAGUUGUUAACAAAUCCGAGGGCGGUAAGACAUCAACAGUGAAAUCAGUGAAUUCGGACAAACGACGUUUAACGUGCCACAACGUGGAGGCGUCGAUUCUUAACAAGAUAUAUUACGAGUCUCGGCAAUCGCAAUUAUGCUAUUACAAAAUAUUCAUAGAUUUAAGCAAAAAUUUCUUUCAUUUUCGUAGCUUAAUAUAAAUCUUUAUUAGUUUAUUUGUAAAAUAUAAUAGUCAUUAUUAAAGUCUUACUUAGAUCGUCUGGUUUACAAGAACCAACUUGGAUAUACGAUGAAACGUGAAAGAAUUAUCGCUUCGAAGUUGAUGUGAAGUGAUUUCACUUAUAUCUCUUAAUAAUCUAGAAAAAUUUAAUGUUUAAAAAUGAGAAUAAAG